GCGGAUGUAGUUUAAUGGUAGAACAUCAGCUUCCCAAGCUGAGAACGCGGGUUCGAUUCCCGUCAUCCGCUCCA
rnacentral:tRNA from 1 species